rnacentral:rRNA from 1 species
UACGUAGGCAGCAAGCGUUGUUCGGAGUUACUGGGCGUAAAGGGUGCGUAGGCGGCCCUGUAAGUAUGGUGUGAAAUCUCCCGGCUUAACUGGGAGGGUGCGCUAUAGACUGCGGGGCUCGAGUGUGGGAGAGGAAAGUGGAAUUCCUGGUGUAGCGGUGAAAUGCGCAGAUAUCAGGAGGAACACCGAUGGCGAAGGCAGUGGGCUGGGCCGGCACUGACGCUGAGGAGCGAAAGCGUGGGGAGCGAACAGG